rnacentral:rRNA from 1 species
AGUGGCGCACGGGUGAGGAACACGUAGCUGACCUGCCUCUCAGCGGGGGAUAACGGCGCGAAAGCGCUGCUAAUACCGCAUAAGCUCACGAUGCUUAGAAAGUAGCGAGCAAAGGCUAACGCCACUGAGAGAGGGGGCUGCGACCCAUCAGGUAGAUGGUAAGGUAACGGCUUACCAUGCCGACGACGGGUCACGGGUCUGAGAGGAUGACCCGUCACACUGGGACUGAGACACGGCCCAGACUCCUACGGGAGGCAGCAGUGAGGAAUAUUGCACAAUGGGGGCAACCCUGAUGCAGCGACGCCGCGUGGGUGAAGAAGGUCUUCGGAUCGUAAAACCCUUUUCUGCGUGACGAGCAAGGACGGUAGCGCAGGAAGAAGUCUCGGCUAACUACGUGCCAGCAGCCGCGGUAAAACGUAGGAGACGAGCGUUAUCCGGAGUUACUGGGCGUAAAGCGCGUGUAGGUGGUGGAUUACGUCUGCUGUGAAAACACACGGCUCAACCGCGUGCAGGCGGCAGAUACGGAUCGACUAGAGGGUGACAGAGGAGCGUAGAAUUCCGGGUGUAGUGGUGAAAUGCGUAGAGAUCCGGAGGAAUACCAGUGGCGCAAGCGGCGCUCUGGGUCACAACUGACACUGAGACGCGAAGGCAUGGGGAGCGAACGGGAUUAGAAACCCCGGUAGUCCAUGCAGUAAACGAUGCAGACUGGG